rnacentral:rRNA from 1 species
GUUUGACCUCAAAUCAGGUAGGAUUACCCGCUGAACUUAAGC